AUACUUAUAUGUCCAGGGAGAUACCAUGAUCAUGACAGUGGUUUUCCCAGGCAUGGAUCAUCCAUUGCACUCUGGGUAUGCUGACACCUGCAAUUUUCCCAAAUAUAAGAGACUAGACAGCAAAAUUUAUGGUGAUGGGCAACUAUAUUUGUGCUUUCCCCUA